GGCCGCCUGGCGAAAUGGUAUCGCGUCUGACUACGACUCGUAUCAAUCAGGAGAUUGCAGGUUCGAGCCCUGCGGUGGUCA
rfam:Rhizoctonia solani isolate BBA 69670 genome assembly, contig: RSOLAG22IIIB_scaffold01582